AUUCUGUAAAGUUGCUACUGUGAUAUCUGUGACUUCUCAGUCACUGCGAUUUCUAACAGAUACGCGAUUUCCUGCCCACCACUAAUACAAACACACAUGAGCCUGUCGUCUGCUAAAAAGCACGAAGAUUCCCACCGAAGGCGGUUAUGCAUCAUGUGGACGCACCUUCAUGAUAGAUCGCUGAACUUGGCCUUGGACGCAACGAUGUAAAAGUAUGUCCACAGAAUGCCUCUUUCCUCGUGAGCAAUUGCAAUUGCACGGGAAUAAUAGGGGCAUGCACAAAAAUUUGUGGAAAGAACGCAUUGGCAUUCCCGUGUCCACAUGUUGCCUGAUUGCGCAAGCAGUCUGCCAUGGAUCCCACAGUUUGUUUGGGUGCUUGUGCUGCGUUUAUUGUGAUGAAAAGACGACAAGAAGAAAACACACAGGCGACUAUAGGUAAAGGAGUGUCUGAAUAACAGAGAUGCGAGAAAUGUAUAAUGACAAUGCUUUUUUCGAAAUUACAGAAUGAGGUCACAAGGACAUCUUAGAUUUUCUGCUAGGAAAAGCUGCAGCGAUAAGGCUGGUAAUAACGUUUCGUUAAGUAGUAACCAGCGACAUAUAUACCUGUUUGAACUAUUUACUUCGCAUUUCAAGACGAAAUUUUUAAUUGACUAUUCCUGAAAGUGGGAAAUACGGGAGAAAUAGUUCAACCUGACUUUCUACAGUGAAUGAUGGUCUCACUGCAACAGCUAUCCAGCACUUAUGAGUUGUCGCUGGAAUGGAUGUCCAAUCUUGAACCACAAAAGGAAACCAUCCAAGAAAACUUUAAGAUCUUGCCACCAUCAUUUCUACCUUCCAACCAGAAUAGAGAAGCCUCGCCAAAUUAUAUUUCCCGACUGAAGAAACUUUCAAUCACGCACUGAUUAUCAGGUGAUGUCACACACAAAGCUAUUCUUACUACAGAUAUUGGUGUGGAAGUGUUUAAACAAAUUCAAAAGAAAUAGAUCACAUGAUCGUUUCGUAUUCAGAAAUUAAAGUUAGUGUCACAUUUUGGAGCACAAGUGCGAUGAUGCUGUAGCCAGGGAUAAAUUUCUUGGAGGCUUUUAAGGAACCAAAUCAAGGUUAUCAGGUAACAAUGAAUGGAAACUACAAGACUUAACUAGAUAUUGCAAAUUUCUGUGUGAAAGUGACAUGUAACAAGUCUUACACUGCUUCUCUCAUUUGUAAUAUGCUUAUUAUGCACUCGCCUGAUAUUGCCUUUAAUAUGGGCACGUUAACAACCGCUAGUGUGAGCAGGUGCACUUCAAUAUGGAGACAGUUGUGUGCUUACAGUGCAUAAGCAGCCCACAUGGCCAAGCUCUGAAUACUUUUCUUUUGAAACUCACAAUGUUUUUAUGCUAUAAAACAGAUCACAAAUCUGAAUUGGCUUUUGCCUGUUCUCAACUCACAAACAAAAUCAUUCCCAUCUUUUCCAAGGUCUUCCAGUAUCUCUUUUCCCAUUCAUUCUGUAGUUCAGGAUCUUAUGUUCUCAUGGAGUGUUGUCUCUGAUUUUCAUGAUACUGACAAAAGUUUUUCAUAACAAAAUUCAAAUGUUUACAAUGAACACGAGCAAUUUGGUAGAUUUUUGUGGACAAAAAAAUAAAGUGAAUGCUAUCUUUUUCAGUAAAUGACAAGGCUUUACCUGUGACACUGAAGAGUUAAUAAAGUGCCAUUGAAAUUUCAAACUGAUAAAGGCUCUGCAGUUUCUAUAGUUGAUCUACAGACAUACAAGAAAUUAGGCUCACCAAAGUUAACCGAGUUUCACAUUUUGGUAUUUAUCAACAGAGUAAUAUAUUCAUGUAAAGCAGCAGAUUUACUGGUUCUAACACACUAGUAUUCACAAUUCAUGAGGAGUGAAUGAGAUUCCCACUUACGUUCCUACUGGAAAGUUGCAAACAUCAUUGCAAAAAUAUGAUACAAUUUUUUUAGAGGCAACAAUAGCAUUUUGAAGGCUUCAAUAUGCACAUCAUUAUGAAGCCAAAUGCUAUGCCAAAAUUCUGCAAAACACAUAAUAUUCCAUUUGCAUUAAAGGACAAAGUGAAACAGGAGCUUGAGUAUCUGUAACAGAAUGGCAUUAUAGAAUCAAUUACUAGUAGCCGAAAGGCAACACCAGUUGUGGUAGUACAAAAACUGCAUGGCACAUUAUUGAUCUGUGGUGAUUUCAAAGUGACUCAGAGUACAAUCGGUUAAUAGAUUCCUAUCCAGUUCCAAAACUAGAAGAGUUAGUGUCUGAAUUAGCUGGCCGUGUAUGUAUAUUUUGCAAAACUUGAUUUGAAGGAAGCUACUUACAAAUACCUCUGGAUGAAGGAACACACAGAUUUUUGGAUAUAAAUACUCCAUUUGGAGUUUAACAGUACAUGAGAUUGCCAUUUGGGAUUGUCAGUGAACCAAGUUUGUUCCAGCAAUACUUGGAACUGUUAAUUAGGAAAUGUAGUAAUGCUGUGAACUACCUGGAUGACAUCAUUCUCUCAGGGAAAGGCUCCAGAAGGACUGUUAUGUAAUAUGGAAUAUGUCUUUAAGGUUUUAUGAGCAGCAAGUUUAAAGUGUAACAAAGAAAAGGACAUAGUAUUCUACUAGCAAGUCCAAUAU